rnacentral:rRNA from 1 species
UACGUAGGGUGCAAGCGUUAAUCGGAAUUACUGGGCGUAAAGCGUGCGCAGGCGGUUAUGCAAGACAUAUGUGAAAUCCCCGGGCUCAACCUGGGAACUGCAUUUGUGACUGCAUGGCUAGAGUACGGUAGAGGGGGAUGGAAUUCCGCGUGUAGCAGUGAAAUGCGUAGAUAUGCGGAGGAACACCGAUGGCGAAGGCAAUCCCCUGGACCUGUACUGACGCUCAUGCACGAAAGCGUGGGGAGCAAACAGG